AAUCAACGCUGGCGGCGUGCCUAACACAUGCAAGUCGAACGCGAAAGUGGAACAAUCCAUGAGUAGAGUGGCAAACGGGUGAGUAACACGUGGGUGACCUGCCUUCGAGUGGGGGAUAACGUCCCGAAAGGGACGCUAAUACCGCAUAAUAUGCUGUCUUUUAAGAGAGAGACAUCAAAGCCGGGGACCGUAAGGCCUGGCGCUUGAAGAGGGGCCCGCGCCUGAUUAGCUAGUUGGUGGGGUAAUGGCUCACCAAGGCAACGAUCAGUAUCCGGCCUGAGAGGGCGGACGGACACACUGGGACUGAGACACGGCCCAGACUCCUACGGGAGGCAGCAGUGGGGAAUUGUUCGCAAUGGGCGCAAGCCUGACGACGCAACGCCGCGUGGAGGAUGAAGAUCUUCGGGUCGUAAACUCCUUUCGAUCGAGACGAAUGGCCCUUGGGAUAAUACCCUGAGGGAGUGACGGUACCGAGAGAAGAAGCCCCGGCUAACUCCGUG
rnacentral:rRNA from 1 species